UACGUAGGGUGCAAGCGUUGUCCGGAAUUAUUGGGCGUAAAGAGCUCGUAGGCGGUCUGUCGCGUCUGCUGUGAAAACUCGGGGCUUAACCCCGGGCCUGCAGUGGGUACGGGGCAGACUAGAGUGCGGUAGGGGAGACUGGAAUUCCUGGUGUAGCGGUGAAAUGCGCAGAUAUCAGGAGGAACACCGGUGGCGAAGGCGGGUCUCUGGGCCGUAACUGACGCUGAGGAGCGAAAAGCGUGGGGAGCGAACAGG
rnacentral:rRNA from 1 species